rnacentral:tRNA from 1 species
AGGGUGGUAGUACAAGUAGUACGGCAUCAGAUGUAGGGCAGGAUAAAUCCGUAAGUCCGAGCAGUUAGACAGCAGUUGUGGGUAUCGAAUCCCACCCACCCUCCA